ensembl:snoRNA SNORD116 Small nucleolar RNA SNORD116
GGCUCGACGAUGACUUCCACAAAUGCAUUCCUUGGAAAUCUGAACAAAAUGAGUGAGAAAUCCCUGCCGUCUCCUCCUUGGAACUGAGGUCC